AAGGCAUAGUGAGGGCACUUUCUAAGCAUCUUUUUGAAUCUUUCCCAACUUUCAUAAAUAGAUUCUCCUUUUAAAUGAGUAUAAGAAGUGAUGUCAUUUUUAAGCUU